rnacentral:rRNA from 1 species
CACUCCUACGGGAGGCAGCAGUGGGGAAUUUUGGACAAUGGGCGAAAGCCUGAUCCAGCAAUGCCGCGUGAGUGAAGAAGGCCUUCGGGUUGUAAAGCUCUUUUGUCAGGGAAGAAACGGUGAGAGCUAAUAUCUCUUGCUAAUGACGGUACCUGAAGAAUAAGCACCGGCUAACUACGUGCCAGCAGCCGCGGUAAUACGUAGGGUGCAAGCGUUAAUCGGAAUUACUGGGCGUAAAGCGUGCGCAGGCGGUUUUGUAAGUCUGAUGUGAAAUCCCCGGGCUCAACCUGGGAAUUGCAUUGGAGACUGCAAGGCUAGAAUCUGGCAGAGGGGGGUAGAAUUCCACGUGUAGCAGUGAAAUGCGUAGAUAUGUGGAGGAACACCGAUGGCGAAGGCAGCCCCCUGGGUCAAGAUUGACGCUCAUGCACGAAAGCGUGGGGAGCAAACAGGAUUAGAUACCCGGGUAGUCCCAUG